UACGAGGGGGGCAAAUGUUGUUCGGAAUCACUGGGCGUAAAGGGAGCGUAGGCGGGGUCUUAAGUAAAGUGUUUAAUCCCGGGGCCCAACCCCGGACCGGCAUUUUAAACUGGGACUCUUGAAUAGUGGAGAGGUCGGUGGAAUUGGGGGUGUAGCGGUGGAAUGCGUAGAGAUCCCCAAGAACACCAGUUGCGAAGGCAGCCCCCUGGGUCGAUACUGACGCUCAUGCACGAAAGCGUGGGGAGCAAACAGG
rnacentral:rRNA from 1 species